rnacentral:rRNA from 1 species
GAACCGUCCAAACGUUAUUCGGAAUCACUGGGCUUAAAGGGUGCGUAGGCGGUCCGGAAAGUUGGGUGUGAAAUCCCUCGGCUCAACCGAGGAAUUGCGCUCAAAACUGCCGGACUUGAGGGAGACAGAGGUGAGCGGAACUCAGGGUGGAGCGGUGAAAUGCGUUGAUAUCCUGAGGAACACCAGUGGCGAAAGCGGCUCACUGGGUCUCUUCUGACGCUCAUGCACGAAAGCCAGGGGAGCGAACGGGGGAUUAGAUACCCCGGUAGUCCUGGCUGUAAACGAUGAGCACUUGGUCGGAGGCUCCUCCAUAGGCUUCCGGCCGUAGCGAAAGUGUUAAGUGCUCCGCCUGGGGAUAUGGUCGCAAGGCUG